rnacentral:rRNA from 1 species
GGUUACCUACGGGGGGCAGCAGUGGGGAAUAUUGCACAAUGGGGGGAACCCUGACGCAGCAACGCCGCGUGAAGGAAGAAGUAAUUCGUUAUGUAAACUUCUAUCGACAGGGAAGAAAUAAAUGACGGUACCUGAAUAAGAAGCCCCGGCUAAUUACGUGCCAGCAGCCGCGGUAAUACGUAAGGGGCGAGCGUUAUCCGGAUUUACUGGGUGUAAAGGGUGAGUAGGCGGCGAUGCAAGUCAUAUGUGAAAUUCCGCGGCUUAACCCCGGAGCUGCAUAAGAAACUGCGUUGCUUGAGUGCAGG